UUAACAACAAGUCACUUCGACGCCUCCGCGCUUUGCUCAUUCGGGUGUGACCUCCGCAGCUCAGUGAAGGGAAUGGCUGGCGCGUGUCCAAGUUGAGACUUGUGUGGGCUCGUGUGUGUGUGUGUCUGUGUAUGCGCAUGUAGUCGUGUGUGUGUGUGUGUGUGACCUGCAGGAAGAAAAGUCGUUGCGUGGCCUCUUGGAUCAGUUCCUCAGCUACGUCUUCAGGGUAGAACUUGGCCCGGAACUUUAUCAACAGAGGGUUCUCCCUGCGUACAUCCUGAGCUGUCACCUGGGAACAUUACAGCAUUGCAACAACAUGAAGCUGGAUGAGCAGACUCGCAGGCCCUGGAGCUGGAGAAGGAGAGGACGUUUGCCCAGGAGGAGGCAGAGCGUCUGGAGAAGGAGGACGUUUGCCCAGGAGGAGGAUCAUCCAAUCGCAAGAGGUCGUAGGGGACUACAAUCAAAACAUGAAGCCCACAAGG